rnacentral:rRNA from 1 species
UACGUAGGCAGCGAGCGUUGUUCGGAGUUACUGGGCGUAAAGAGUGCGUAGGCGGUUUUCUAAGUUUGGUGUGAAAUCCCCCGGCUUAACCUGGGAACUGCGUCUGAUACUGGAAGGCUUGAGGAUGGGAGAGGGAUGUAGAAUUCCAGGUGUAGCGGUGAAAUGCGUAGAUAUCUGGAGGAAUACCGGGUGGCGAAGGCGGCAUCCUGGACCAUUACUGACGCUGAGGCGCGAAAGCCAGGGGAGCAAACGGG